rfam:Candidate division NC10 bacterium RIFCSPLOWO2_02_FTLL_66_22 rifcsplowo2_02_scaffold_1765, whole genome shotgun sequence.
UUGCCGGUGAAAGUCCGGCCGCAGGAGUUGGCUGUUUGCCUGCGUAGUCAUACCCGACGUCUUCCAGGGGUGACCCUGGGGGCGCAAGCUCGGGAGUAAAAGCUCUUGCCGGAGAAGAGCGAGCGAUCCACCGGGCCGCAGCAUGA